rnacentral:lncRNA from 1 species
UUGGAUAAGACGACAAAGACUUGUUUCGAUACUAGAUGAAGAGGAACUGAAAUUGAUUAAAUACCUUAUCCGAAAUUUCAAACUUUUGCUCAAUUUAGACACUGAUAUUUUCGCAUCAGCGUUCCGACACAAACAGAUGUACUUCUACUACACAUAUAUAGGACUACGUAGAGGACGAAGAGGAAAUGACAGAAAUGCGUUCUUUUGGGAAAAUCGAACUCCUGCAACUUUCUUUUCAUGGAGACAAGGACAACCUUCUAGUGGUGAUUGCGUGCGGAUGGGAUUCUAUAAGGCAAAUGAAGAUUAUACCUGGGAAACACACAGCUGUACAGCAGAUUCUGCUUUUUAUUUCGUCUGCGAAAAUACCAUGG